rnacentral:rRNA from 1 species
AGUGAACGCUGGCGGUAGGCCUAACACAUGCAAGUCGAACGGCAGCACAGUAAGAGCUUGCUCUUACGGGUGGCGAGUGGCGGACGGGUGAGGAAUACAUCGGAAUCUACUUUUUCGUGGGGGAUAACGUAGGGAAACUUACGCUAAUACCGCAUACGACCUACGGGUGAAAGCAGGGGAUCUUCGGACCUUGCGCGAUUGAAUGAGCCGAUGUCGGAUUAGCUAGUUGGCGGGGUAAAGGCCCACCAAGGCGACGAUCCGUAGCUGGUCUGAGAGGAUGAUCAGCCACACUGGAACAGAGACACGGUCCAGACUCCUACGGGAGGCAGCAGUGGGGAAUAUUGGACAAUGGGCGCAAGCCUGCUCCAGCCAUACCGCGUGGGUGAAGAAGGCCUUCGGGUUGUAAAGCCCUUUUGUUGGGAAAGAAAAGCAGCAGGUUAAUACCCCGCUGUUCUGACGGUACCCUAAGAAUAAGCACCGGCUAGCUUCGUG